UGGGGAAUUUUUCGCAAUGGGGGCAACCCUGACGAAGCAAUGCCGUGUGGAUGAUGAAGUCUCUUGGGACGUAAAAUCCUUUCGACAGGGACGAAACCGCAAGGUUGACGGUACCCGUAGAAGAAGCCCCGGCUAACUCCGUGCCAGCAGCCGCGGUAAUACGGGGGGGGCAAGCGUUGUUCGGAAUUACUGGGCGUAAAGGGUGCGUAGGCGGCUCUCUAAGUCGGAUGUGAAAACUCUGGGCUCAACCCAGAGCCUGCAUCCGAAACUGGAGGGCUAGGGUUCUGGAGGGGAAAGCGGAAUUCCUGGUGUAGCGGUGAAAUGCGUAGAUAUCAGGAGGAACACCGGAGGCGAAGGCGGCUUUCUGGACAGAUACCGACGCUGAGGCACGAAAGCUAGGGGAGCAAACAGGAUUAGAUACCCUGGUAGUCCUAGCCCUAAACUAUGGAUACUUGCUGUGGGGGGGAUUGAAGCCCCUUGUGGCGAAGCUAACGCAUUAAGUAUCCCGCCUGGGGAGUACGGUCGCAAGGCUGA
rnacentral:rRNA from 1 species